UUAAAAUUAAAUGGCGAUUGUCGGUAUGGUCGCUUUUUCAAGACUUCAAAGCUGCAUAUCGAAGUGACUAGACCGAACACUCGUGCUAUAAUUUUAAAAU
rnacentral:pre_miRNA from 1 species